GCCUGGUUAGCUUACUUGGCGAGAGCGUGGUGCUGAUAAUGCCAAGGUUGCAGGUUCGAUCCCUGUAUGUCCCAGGUA